rnacentral:rRNA from 1 species
GAUCCUGGCUCAGGAUGAACGCUAGCUACAGGCUUAACACAUGCAAGUCGAGGGGCAGCAGAUCGAAAGCUUGCUUUUGAUGCUGGCGACCGGCGCACGGGUGAGUAACGCGUAUCCAACCUUCCCCAUAGUAGAGAAUAGCCCGGCGAAAGUCGGAUUAAUGCUCUAUGUUGUAUCAUGAGGACAUCUGAAUAAUACCAAAGGUUUACCGCUAUGGGAUGGGGAUGCGUCUGAUUAGGUUGUUGGCGGGGUAACGGCCCACCAAGCCCGCGAUCAGUAGGGGUUCUGAGAGGAAGGUCCCCCACAUUGGAACUGAGACACGGUCCAAACUCCUACGGGAGGCAGCAGUGAGGAAUAUUGGUCAAUGGACGGAAGUCUGAACCAGCCAAGUAGCGUGCAGGAUGACGGCCCUAUGGGUUGUAAACUGCUUUUAUAUAGGGAUAAAGUCGGGGACGUGUCCCCGUUUGUAGGUACUAUAUGAAUAAGGACCGGCUAAUUCCGUGCC